UACAGAGGGUGCGAGCGUUAAUCGGAAUUACUGGGCGUAAAGCGAGUGUAGGUGGCUCAUUAAGUCACAUGUGAAAUCCCCGGGCUUAACCUGGGAACUGCAUGUGAUACUGGUGGUGCUAGAAUAUGUGAGAGGGAAGUAGAAUUCCAGGUGUAGCGGUGAAAUGCGUAGAGAUCUGGAGGAAUACCGAUGGCGAAGGCAGCUUCCUGGCAUAAUAUUGACACUGAGAUUCGAAAGCGUGGGUAGCAAACAGGAUUAGAUAC
rnacentral:rRNA from 1 species